ACGUAGGAGACAAACGUUAUCCGGAGUUACUGGGCGUAAAGGGCGUGUAGGUGGUUUCGUAAGUCUGGCGUGAGAUUUUUCGGCUUAACCGGGAAAGGUCGUCGGAUACUGCGGAACUAGAGGACGGCAGAGGCGUGUGGAAUUCCGGGUGUAGUGGUGAAAUGCGUAGAGAUUCGGAGGAACACCAGUGGCGAAGGCGACACGCUGGGCCGUACCUGACACUGAUGCGCGACAGCGUGGGGAGCAAACAGGA
rnacentral:rRNA from 1 species